rnacentral:rRNA from 1 species
UCGAGGGGCAGCGAGUAGAUUGCUUGCAAUCUACGUCGGCGACCGGCGCACGGGUGCGUAACGCGUAUGCAACCUACCCAUUACAGGGGGAUAACACUGAGAAAUCGGUACUAAUACCCCAUAACAUCCAGGGAGGCAUCUUCUUGGGUUGAAAACUCCGGUGGUAAUGGAUGGGCAUGCGUUGUAUUAGUUAGUUGGUGGGGUAACGGCUCACCAAGACAACGAUACAUAGGGGGACUGAGAGGUUAACCCCCCACAUUGGUACUGAGACACGGACCAAACUCCUACGGGAGGCAGCAGUGAGGAAUAUUGGUCAAUGGACGCAAGUCUGAACCAGCCAUGCCGCGUGCAGGAAGACGGCUCUAUGAGUUGUAAACUGCUUUUGUACGAGGGUAAACGCAGAUACGUGUAUCUGUCUGAAAGUAUCGUACGAAUAAGGAUCGGCUAACUCCGUGCCAGCAGCCGCGGUAAUACGGAGGAUUCAAGCGUUAUCCGGAUUUAUUGGGUUUAAAGGGUGCGUAGGCGGUCGGAUAAGUUAGAGGUGAAAUCCCGAGGCUCAACUUCGGAAUUGCCUCUGAUACUGUUCGGCUAGAGAGUAGUUGCGGUAGGCGGAAUGUAUGGUGUAGCGGUGAAAUGCUUAGAGAUCAUACAGAACACCGAUUGCGAAGGCAGCUUACCAAGCUACUUCUGACGUUGAGGCACGAAAGCGUGGGGAGCAAACAGGAUUAGAUACCCUGGUAGUCCACGCAGUAAACGAUGAUAACUCGUUGUCGGCGAUACAAUGUCGGUGACUAAGCGAAAGCGAUAAGUUA